rnacentral:rRNA from 1 species
GAUGAACGCUGGCGGCGUGCUUAACACAUGCAAGUCGAACGAUGAAGCCCAGCUUGCGGGGUGGAGUAGUGGCGAACGGGUGAGUAACACGUGAGUAACCUGCCCUUAACUCUGGGAUAAGCCUGGGAAACUGGGUCUAAUACCGGAUAGGAGCGCCUACCGCAUGGUGGGUGUUGGAAAGAUUUAUCGGUUUUGGCUGGACUCGCGGCCUAUCAGCUUGUUGGUGAGGUAAUGGCUCACCAAGGCGACGACGGGUAGCCGGCCUGAGAGGGUGACCGGCCACCCUGGGCCUGCGACACGGCCCAGACUCCUACGGUAGGCAGCAGUGGGGAAUAUUGCACAAUGGGCGCAAGCCUGAUGCAGCGACGCCGCGUGCGGGAUGACGGCCUUCGGGUUGUAAACCUCUUUCAGUGGGGAAGAAGCGAAAGUGACGGUACCUGCAGAAGAAGCACCGGCUAACUACGUG